UUCGAUCAUGGCUCAGAUUGAACGCUGGCGGGAUGCUUUACACAUGCAAUCGAACGGCAGCACGGACUUCGGUCUGGUGGCGAGUGGCGAACGGGUGAGUAAUGUAUCGGAACGUGCCCUAGUAGCGGGGGAUAACUACGCGAAAGCGUAGCUAAUACCGCAUACGCCCUUCGGGGGAAAGCGGGGGACCUUCGGGCCUCGCACUAUUAGAGCGGCCGAUAUCGGAUUAGCUAGUUGGUGGGGUAACGGCUCACCAAGGCGACGAUCCGUAGCUGGUUGAGAGGACGACCAGCCACACUGGGACUGAGACACGGCCCAGACUCCUACGGGAGGCAGCAGUGGGGAAUUUUGGACAAUGGGGAAACCUGAUCCAGCCAUCCCGCGUGUGCGAUGAAGGCCUUCGGGUUGUAAAGCACUUUUGGCAGGAAAGAAACGGCACGGGAUAAUACCCGAUGCAACUGAGGUACCUGCAGAAUAAGCACCGGCUAACUACGUGCCAGCAGCCGCGGUAAUACGUAGGGUGCAAGCGUUAAUCGGAAUUACUGGGCGUAAAGCGUGCGCAGGCGGUUCGGAAAGAAAGAUGUGAAAUCCCAGAGCUUAACUUUGGAACUGCAUUUUUAACUACCGAGCUAGAGUGUCAGAGGAGGUGGAAUUCCGCGUGUAGCAGUGAAAUGCGUAGAUAUGCGGAGGAACACCGAUGGCGAAGGCAGCCUCCUGGGAUAACACUGACGCUCAUGCACGAAAGCGUGGGGAGCAAACCCAGGAUUAGAUACCCUGGUAGUCCACGCCCUAAACGAUGUCAACUAGCUGUUGGGGCCUUCGGGCCUUGGUAGCGCAGCUAACGCGCGUGAAGUUGACCGCCUGGAAGUACGGUCGCAAGAUUAAAACUCAAAGGAAUUGACGGGGACCCGCACAAGCGGUGGAUGAUGUGGAUUAAUUCGAUGCAACGCGAAAAACCUUACCUACCCUUGACAUGUCUGGAAUCCCGAAGAGAUUUGGGAGUGCUCGCAAGAGAACGGAACACAGGUGCUGCAUGGCUGUCGUCAGCUCGUGUCGUGAGAUGUUGGGUUAAGUCCGCAACGAGCGCAACCCUUGUCAUUAGUUGCUACGAAAGGGCACUCUAAUGAGACUGCCGGUGACAAACCGGAGGAAGGUGGGGAUGACGUCAAGUCCUCAUGGCCCUUAUGGGUAGGGCUUCCACACGUCAUACAAUGGUCGGGACAGAGGGUCGCCAACCCGCGAGGGGGAGCCAAUCCCGAAACCCGAUCGUAGUCCGGAUCAUGAUCUGCAACUCGACUGCGUGAAGUCGGAGAUCGCUAGUAAUCGCGGAUCAGCAUGUCGCGGUGAAUACGUUCCCGGGUCUUGUACACACCGCCCGUCACACCAUGGGAGUGGGUUUACCAAGUAGUUAGCCUAACCGUAAGGAGGGCGAUUACCACGGUAGGAUUCAUGACUGGGGUGAAGUCGUAAAAGGUAG
rnacentral:rRNA from 1 species